UGGGGAAUUUUGGACAAUGGGCGAAAGCCUGAUCCAGCAAUGCCGCGUGUGUGAAGAAGGCCUUCGGGUUGUAAAGCACUUUUGUCCGGAAAGAAAUCCUUGGCUCUAAUACAGUCGGGGGAUGACGGUACCGGAAGAAUAAGCACCGGCUAACUACGUGCCAGCAGCCGCGGUAAUACGUAGGGUGCAAGCGUUAAUCGGAAUUACUGGGCGUAAAGCGUGCGCAGGCGGUUUGCUAAGACCGAUGUGAAAUCCCCGGGCUCAACCUGGGAACUGCAUUGGUGACUGGCAGGCUAGAGUAUGGCAGAGGGGGGUAGAAUUCCACGUGUAGCAGUGAAAUGCGUAGAGAUGUGGAGGAAUACCGAUGGCGAAGGCAGCCCCCUGGGCCAAUACUGACGCUCAUGCACGAAAGCGUGGGGAGCAAACAGGAUUAGAUACCCUGGUAGUCCACGCCCUAAACGAUGUCAACUAGUUGUUGGGGAUUCAUUUCCUUAGUAACGUAGCUAACGCGUGAAGUUGACCGCCUGGGGAGUACGGUCGCAAGAUUAAAACUUAAAUGAAUAUGACGGGGU
rnacentral:rRNA from 1 species